AGGGGCUCACCCACAAAAAUAGCUUCCAUGGAAUGGUCAGCCUAGCAGGAGCUGGGGGUUCUCCAUCAAGUGAAGAUGGGGACUAUGAGAUCUUACGGCAUCUCAAAGGGCAGAAGUCUGGACAGGAAGACCAGUUGCAUAGUGGAGGGAAGUAUCCUAACCUGGAUUAAAUAUAUGCUGAAUUCCUCUGUUUAUCCUAAAAGCUAAAUCCCUGAUAUAAACUUGCUUUUUCAUGUUUUUAUGAUUUAGCUUUAUUUUAGGGAUUUAACUUUAUUUUAACCAUGGGUUACUGAGAAUUUUUGUUAAAGUUUAAUGGCAUUGUGUACUCCUAUUCACUCUUCAGAAUCUCAGUUCAAUAUCACUUCCUCCAUGAAGCCUUCCUGAUUACUUUUUCCUUUCUUCCCUCAGGCCCUCCCAGUUAUUUCCCUCUCUAAGGAGCAUACUAUGUUUAAAUAAUUUGUUAACAUGAGCUACAGGGGGCAGGUGGUUGAGGGAGGGCUUUCUCUGUGAGUCUGCUUAUUAAGAAGCUGAGCUCCCAGUCCUUGCCUUGUGAUAAUAAUCAAGCCCCAUUACUUGAGAGCUCGCAGAGGGCAGAAAACAAGGGCUGCUUCACUGUUACAUGCACAGGCCAUGGCCUGAAACAAGGAAGGGAAGGAGGGAGAAAACAACGGGAGGACAAAUUCUAUAAACAGGUCAGAGGAGAGGGAGAGACAUUAUUUAUCAGCUUGGUGAUUUCAACUUAAUUCUGAGAAGACUUAAUCCAUGUCUGUUUCCCUCUGGUCUGUAAAACAAAAUGCCUCCUACAAUGUUUCUGAGUUGUUUCACAACUCAGGAAGACGAUAUUUCUCUUUGCCAUAAGACAAUACAUUUCCUAAACGUACUGUAGUGGGUAAGGGUAGGGUGGGAGUUUAAAAAAGAAAAUCAGUCAGCAGCUAUGAAGAGCCAAAAGGACACAGUGUCAGAUCUGUGGAAAUUGAACCUAAGGAUAGAUCUGAGACCAACAAGAGUUAAAUGGUCAACUCCACUCAACAUUUGCUGAGUCUCUAUUCUGUGGGCCCUAAUAGAAAGUCACCAAAACAGUUCUUGAGGGGUCAGGACCUAUUGCUGAGAGUGGCAAGUCAGGAGUAAAGCAAAAAGAGGGCAGGACUGGCCUCAUGUCCAGUUGCACAGCCCUGGUUGUGCCAUGUCUCUGGGCUGGGAGACAGCUGCCUGGCCACUGGCCCUUGGGCCAUUAAAAACACAGGGCCACAGAAGGAGCAGGCAGGGCUCAUAUCUGGGGGAUUAGCUCCAUCUGCCCUGAGUGCAGUGGAAACCGUGCAUCCUUCCUCUUCCCUGGGCCUCAUCCUGGUGCCUGCCCCCAGCAGUCCCUGGCAGCCUCAUGUCCACCUGGCCAUGAUGUCAGGUCUAUUUAAGCCAGGGACCUGGUGAUCCUUUCCACAGCCCACUGGGAAGGCCUAUGUGUUGCUGAAAAACAAAUAAACCAACAGCUCUCUGUCACCAUGGGUUCUACAGACCUGGGGAUACACGGCAAAGGCCUGUCGUGGAGGUUGUAACUCUUUGUCCUUUAGGAUUCCCAAGGUAGACCACGUGUGUGCCAGCCCAGCAGGCAAACUGCCCCGUAUGAGUUUGUCCAUCAACUGUGCGUGCAGAUCUUUACUCGCAUGCAUGACACAGGAAGCCCACGGGACACUUCCCCAGCACGCCCCGCUUCCUCUGCACUCCUGGAAGGAAGACCUGUUCUUGCUUCUUCCGUACUCUCAGGAUCUGGCACAGAACCCGACAAAGGAAAUAUUUAAUGAACUAUGGCGUAGGCCUGGCCCUGAACGACACCCUGGGGACCCAGCAGCAGCAAGGUGCAGCUUCUGCCCUCAGCAACCUCACGGUCUAAUGGACGCGGCACAGUGGGCAGGAAGUGACACCAAAGAGCAUCAGGAUUAGGAAGUCUGUUCGGAUUAGCAUGGAAUCAGAGUCUCCCUGCCCUGGGAAUCAUUGCUGGCCAUGGCAGUUGCUGAGACUGGGAGCUAAAAGGUGCAUCUGAGUUGGAGUCUUGUCAUGUUCCUUCAGACUCUCUGGAGCAGCCCAGCUUCCCAGAACUGAGAUCACUAAACCAAGAAGAGGAGGCACCUUGGACCUGGGUAAAGGCUCCUUUCCAAGCUACUGCACAAAGAGGCCCAGGAGAAAUCAAAAGAUCAUGGACUGUUUUUGCUAUUGCAUGUGUUCCACCUUCAGUAUGGACUGUUGCCCUCCUUGCAGAUGUCGAGAUGGAACCUCACCAGGGCUUCCUUCUGAAAUGAAACUUCCAGAAAGCAGCAGACAGACCACAGAACAUCCUUCCUAGAAAAAGAAAAGCCGUCUGUAGACCAGCAACAGCUCUGAUCACAUGACUGCAAGCAAGGUUUCCAAAGAAAUCAAAAUGAUAGCUUGAAGAAU